rnacentral:rRNA from 1 species
GAUGAACGCUAGCGAUAGGCCUAACACAUGCAAGUCGAGGGGCAUCACAUGAAGUAGCAAUACGGAUGGUGGCGACCGGCGCACGGGUGAGUAACACGUAUGCAACCUGCCUUCAACAAGGGGAUAACCCGUUGAAAAACGGACUAAUACCCUAUAAUACAGGGGUCCCGCAUGGGGAUAUUUGUUAAAGAUUGAUCGGUUGAAGAUGGGCAUGCGUUCCAUUAGCUGGUUGGUGAGGUAACGGCUCACCAAGGCAACGAUGGAUAGGGGAACUGAGAGGUUUAUCCCCCACACUGGUACUGAGACACGGACCAGACUCCUACGGGAGGCAGCAGUGAGGAAUAUUGGUCAAUGGGCGAGAGCCUGAACCAGCCAAGUCGCGUGCAGGAAGAAUGUCCUAUGGAUUGUAAACUGCUUUUGCAGGGGAAUAAAGUGAGCCACGUGUGGUUUUUGUAUGUACUCUGCGAAUAAGGAUCGGCUAACUCCGUGCC